rnacentral:tRNA from 1 species
CGGGGCGUAGCUUAGCCCGGUAGAGCGCCUGCUUCGGGAGCAGGAGGUCGCUGGUUCGAAUCCAGUCGCCCCGAC